CGCGGCCUAUCAGCUUGUUGGUGGGGUAAUGGCCAACCAAGGCGACGACGGGUAGCCGGCCUGAGAGGGUGACCGGCCACACUGGGACUGAGACACGGCCCAGACUCCUACGGGAGGCAGCAGUGGGGAAUAUUGCACAAUGGGCGAAAGCCUGAUGCAGCGACGCCGCGUGCGGGAUGACGGCCUUCGGGUUGUAAACCGCUUUCAGCUCUGACGAAGCGCAAGUGACGGUAGGAGCAGAAGAAGCACCGGCUAACUACGUGCCAGCAGCCGCGGUAAUACGUAGGGUGCGAGCGUUGUCCGGAAUUAUUGGGCGUAAAGAGCUUGUAGGCGGCUUGUCGCGUCUGCUGUGAAAGCCCGGGGCUUAACCCUGGGUCUGCAGUGGGUACGGGCAGGCUAGAGUGUGGUAGGGGAGACCGGAAUUCCUGGUGUAGCGGUGGAAUGCGCAGAUAUCAGGAGGAACACCGAUGGCGAAGGCAGGUCUCUGGGCCAUUUCUGACGCUGAGAAGCGAAAGCGUGGGGAGCGAACAGGAUUAGAUACCCUGGUAGUCACGCCGUAAACGUUGGGCGCUAGGUGUGGGUCCCAUUCCACGGGGUCCGUGCCGCAGCUAACGCAUUAAGCGCCCCGCCUGGGGAGUACGG
rnacentral:rRNA from 1 species